rnacentral:SRP_RNA from 1 species
GCUGGGUAUGGUAAUGCACACCUGUAGUCCCAGCUACUCAGGAGGCUGAGGCAAGAGGAUCACUUGGGCCCAGGAGUUCAAAGCUGCAAUGAGCUAUGAUUGCACCACUGCACUCUAGCCUGGGCAACAGAGUGAAAUCUUGUCUCAA